rnacentral:tRNA from 1 species
GGGGAUUUAGCUCAGUGGCAAAAGCACCUGCCUGGCAAGCAUGAGGUCAUGAGUUCGAUCCCCG